UAACAUCAACAACAAAACACAACAUCGCAUAAGAGGCAUGAGUUUCUUUCAUAUCAUUUGUUCAUUAAACAUUUCCAAAUUCAUAAAUAGCAUAAGGGCAUUCUUCAUCAUCAAUCUUCAUUAACAAACAUCGUGUCGUGGAGAAGGCCUUCCCCAACGAACACGGGCAUCGCACCGUGAGGGGGAGCCUCCCUCAGCGGUCACGGCAUCGUACUAUUGAGGGAGGCCUCCCCCAAUAGACGCUGUAACACUGGCAUACUGGCAUACUGGCAUCGCGCCGCGAGAGAGGCCUCUCUCAGCGGACACUGGCAUCGCGCCGUGAGGAAGGCCCUCCUCAACGGACACGGCAUCGUACUGUUGAGGGAGGCCUCCCCCAACAGACGCAAGCAUCAAACAUAAGCAUAAAC
rnacentral:lncRNA from 1 species